CCUACGGGGGGCAGCAGUGGGGAAUAUUGGACAAUGGGGGCAACCCUGAUCCAGCCAUGCCGCGUGUGUGAAGAAGGCCCUCGGGUUGUAAAGCACUUUCAGUGAGGAAGAACGCCUGGUGGUUAAUACCCAUCAGGAAAGACAUCACUCACAGAAGAAGCACCGGCUAACUCCGUGCCAGCAGCCGCGGUAAUACGGAGGGUGCGAGCGUUAAUCGGAAUUACUGGGCGUAAAGCGCGCGUAGGUGGCUUGAUAAGCCGGUUGUGAAAGCCCCGGGCUCAACCUGGGAACGGCAUCCGGAACUGUCAAGCUAGAGUGCAGGAGAGGAAGGUAGAAUUCCCGGUGUAGCGGUGAAAUGCGUAGAGAUCGGGAGGAAUACCAGUGGCGAAGGCGGCCUUUUGGACUGACACUGACACUGAGGUGCGAAAGCGUGGGUAGCAAACAGGAUUAGAUACCCCUGUAGUC
rnacentral:rRNA from 1 species